GUGAACCUGCGGAAGGAUCAUUAUUGAUUGUGAAUCGUUGCCUUCUGUGCUGGCCAGCUCUGRCAAGUGCACGCUGGUGACUUUCCUCCAAUCCCCACCCCAUGUGAACCUUUAGCCUCCGCUGSCUUUGGCUGGCAGAGGAUUUUUACACCGACUSGAAUGUAAUGAAAUUAUCAUUGUGCGUAAGCACUACGAAUGUACAACUUUCAACAACGGAUCUCUUGGCUCUCGCAUCGAUGAAGAACGCAGCGAAAUGCGAUAAGUAAUGUGAAUUGCAGAAUUCAGUGAAUCAUCGAAUCUUUGAACGCACCUUGCACCCUUUGGUAUUCCGAAGGGUAUGCUCGUUUGAGUGUCAUUGUAAUCUCACACUUCUGAUCCUUUGGAUCGGGAGUGGUGGACUUGGGUGUUGCUGCUUGACGGUGGCUCACCUCAAAUGCAUUAGUGCAACUCCAGGUUGGACAUAGUACGGCGUGAUAAGUAUCUUCGCCGGCACCUCACCAGAGGGUGGNUAAUCCGGAGCUCUGUGCUU
rnacentral:rRNA from 1 species